AAGGGAAGGUGCCCGUACUGACAUCGGCGAAAGUCUCGUGGAAACGAGCCCCAGUGAAGGUGAGAGGCCUGCACAUCGCUGCCUGUUUUGUACGAACGGUACCUCUUCCUGGAGUCACACUCUUUGGGAUUGGAGUGCUGGAUAGGUGGUAAAUCUCAUCUACGACUACAUAAAGGUCUGGAACCGAUAGCAGAGAAGUACCAUAA
rnacentral:rRNA from 1 species